rnacentral:rRNA from 1 species
AAUGUAUACGACUCACUAUAGGGCGAAWUGGGCCCGACGUCGCAUGCUCCCGGCCGCCAUGGCGGCCGCGGGAAUUCGAUUAGAGUUUGAUCCUGGCUCAGAACGAACGCUGGCGGCGUGCCUAACACAUGCAAGUCGAGCGAGAAAGUCCGCAAGGAUGAGUAAAGCGGCAAACGGGUGAGUAACACGUGAGCCAUCUCCCCUAAAGUUUGGAAUAACCAGCCGAAAGGUUGGCUAAUACCGAAUAAUAUCCCCCGGGGCAGCCGGGGGAUCAAAGCAUGCCUCUAUUUAUAAGCAUGCGCUAUAGGAUGAGCUCGCGCACCAUUAGCUAGUUGGCGGGGUAACGGCCCACCAAGGCAACGAUGGUUAGCUGGUCUGAGAGGAUGACCAGCCACACCGGAACUGAGACMCGGUCCGGACUCCUACGGGAGGCAGCAGUGAGGAAUAUUGCGCAAUGGGSGAAAGCCUGACGCAGSGACGCCGCGUGGGGGACGAAGGUUUUCGGAUUGUAAACCCCUUUCGGGCGGAACGAAUCCCGGUCGGAUGAAUAAGCCGGCCGGCUGACGGUACCGCAAGAAGAAGCCCUGC